CUUCUCCCCAUUCUCACCUCUUCCACCUGUUGGCUCACCUCCCGGCCGCGUCGGCCGAUGGCAGUCAACUCUAUGGAGCCCCAUGGCGACCAUACGGAUCCAGCAGGCGGCGAGGUAGGAGAUGUCCGCUUUUGUAAUUGACAGAGCAGGAGACCACGUCGCCGCUCAUGGGAUUGACUUUCUCGCAUCCUUCGCCGCCGAUCUGGAUCUGCAAUCAACACCCAGAUCGGAAGAAGUGGAUGGUGGUUCAUCCGUUCUGAUUUCAGGCGAUAUUCAAACAUCCGACGCAGCCAUGUCCGUGCAGGACGGGUCGAAGCCUUGUCCAUAUCCACCAGUUUGUGGAUCGAAACGCGGAACAUAAUAAUAAUCCACAGCCUCUAUCACCCGGCCAGUCCACAUGAUAAUAGCAUGCUGCCUCCUAAAGAAGGAGGAUAGCCCAAGUUUCAGACAAACGACAAGACCUCAAACCCCUUGAAGCACAGGCUCGUCUUCAACCCCUUGUAGAGAAACACACCGACCUCCCGAACGCCCGUUGCAGGUGCCAAUGGAAUCCACGCAGAUUGGGGGAGAUGCCAUGGUGCAGGGACGCGUUGAUUCCAACCAUGGCCAAUUGGCCAUGCCUCUCCGAUGGGAGGAAUAGAGGGACCUGCAGCUGUUCAUGGUCUAGAAAUUCGCAUCAAUCGUCCCUGAUAUGGGAACUGAAGAAAUCCCCAGAUCUCAAGUUAUAGAUGGUGGCUCGUGCAGUCUACCGCAUGGCCUCCUAGGCCUGAUGCACAAAACGGCGGCCGUGGCGAUGCGAACGCUCAGCCGUAUGAGACAACGGGAGGUUGGAAACGCAGGAACCGGAUUCAUAAUGGGCAUGCGGCUAGUGCAACCCCAAGCAAACUGAGCUCGAUUGAAAGAUGUCUCCUACACUCUUAUGGCAAGAACGCGACUGCCGCUUUUGCUAAGGCAUGUCCUUUGAUUCAUGCCAACAAGCGUACAAACAGUAAAACCUAUUCGCUUGGAAAAUGGUUUCGGAAUUCACCAUGGGGAAUCCAGAUGGGGAGAUGGGCGUCGUUACCAGCUGAUGCAUGAUAUUGUGUGCCGGGGCCAGGUCAGUUACAUAGCGUCCUGCUUGGAAUGUAGGAUGAGUCCUGUUCUUAAUAUUUUUGAUCUUCUACUUCUGUACUAGCGAGUUGAAUAUCAAGCUUGUGCACGCCGUGUGCUUAGUGUUAUGUGGGCUGGCAUACACUAAUGUUAGAGGACUUCUGUACUACGAGAGUAUGAAGCUCGUUGAAACAAGUAGCAAGGCCGGACAUACCCUUUGGUUCAUGUAUAUACACCUUAUAUGGAAAAAUAUUUUAAAUAAUUAUAAAAGUCAAAAUAGUUUGGUAGUUUUUUACAAUAAACUAUGCUUUCUUUUACACUAGUAUAUAAAUUUCCAUAAAUAGAAAACCACCCUUGAUUUCAGAAAAAAAAAUGUUUGCUAUUAUAGGUCACUACUCAGACCAAAAAUUUUGUCGUUUUUAAAAUGAAGUCAAUGACAUUUUUUUGGGGAUCUCUUUUUUACCAAUGCAAUGCAAGUCAAGUUUAUUUCAAAAGAAAGUAAGAAUUUGUUGCCUUUUAUUUAUUUACCAAAUUGUUUUUCCAUAUAGGGUGUACCCCUCUGUAGUAAUGCGUUCUUGUACCAAGUACACUUGUCAGAUUCUGCUUUUCAGGGAGAUGUGCCAGGUACAUUACCCCGUCGGUGUUCUGGCUGGACAUACUGCUUUGCUAAACGGCGCUGUACCCGUGGUAUAGAGACUAUUCCGAAUCUAUACACGCUGACCCAGAAAUUAGUACUACGCAAUAAAUAAGCGUGUUAAAUCUCGAAAGCAAAUACUCCAUUGAAAAAGCAAAAACGAUUUGUGUGCGUGCCAUAUGUGAGAGAUUCUACGCUACGGUUAGUAGGCUGCUACCCUACUACAAGCUGCUGAUUUAGACAGAACGAUGUGCACACUGCAAAAAUCUGUAUGUUGUCUCUGCACAGCGGCACUGCACUCCGUUAAAAAGUAUUAUACGAGGCGUCAAUAGGACAAAAGUAACGCAACGAGUCAAUCCUGGCACCCUGCACUGCACCAUGACUCGCUGAGUCAUGCAAACACUGACUCAUUGUGCAGUACGCGUCUACACAUCUAAAACUAACGGCAGCCAGUUUUACAAUUUGGUAAUCUCAGCACUGUCGACGUACUCCCUCCGUUUUUAUUUACUCUGCAUAUUAAAGUUGAUUAAAAUCAAAUUUUGUAAAAAUUAACCAAGUUUAUAGAAAAAGUACAAACAUUUACUAUAACAGAUCUAUAUGAUGUGAAAAUGCAUUCUUAAUAAAUCUAAGGGUAUUGAUUUCUAAUUGUAUAUGUUUAUAAAUUUAGUCAAAGUUUACAAAGAUUGACUUUGACUAAAGCUAAUACGCGGACUAAAUAAAAGCGAAGGAAGUACUAAGAGCAGCAGUAAAGUUAAUUGCACAAAAUAAACAUCUAGAUUCACAGAAAACCAUCAAAUUGGUAAUCCAUUGAAAAACCACAACAUUCUAGUAUUUUUUUGCAAAAAGGUAAUUUGAUCGUCUAUUCACUUUCUAACAAGUCGGGUCGGAUUGUAAGUAGUUGACUUUGCCAAAAAAUAAUACACACCCCUAUAUCUAAAAGAAAGCAAUCAAACCACCCGAUGGUCAGUAAUCCGGUUAACAUGUCUAAUGGACGUAUAUUAGAAACAACAAACAGUUUGGCAUGACAUUGCCUAUUUUUCCUUCAGUUUUUUCAUCUCAAGUUUUGUUACAGACAUUAGCCCUGUCAAAUAUCUCGUUUUGAUUUCGGUUUGCAGAGUAAGCACCGAUUUACUGCUGGUGAAUAGUGAUCACACUCUGUGGGGUCACACAUCUAAAAAUGAAAUCCGCCACCUCCACGGCAGAGCUGUCCAAUGGGCUAUAUAACUGUUGCAUGCAUUGACACCGUCACUGAAACAGCUUCCCCGGUGCAGAAAGAUUCAGCCGCAUGCGCAUUAAAAUAAGAGAGAUUCUUGUUUGUUGUACACUGUAGCAGAAAGGUGAAUCGCCUAUUAAGGACAGUAUAAUCAACCCUAAAGCGAGCCUUCUCACGCCUUUAGCAGUUUUGGCCGUUGGAUCUCAUGUCAUGACCAUUUGUGGCCGUCUGUUCGCUGCCUCACCCAGCUAUCAAUUGCUAAGUGGGCUUAGCUGUCCUGCGGCUGGCUACUCUGGUGGAAAAAACGGUGCAUUGUGGUUAACUGGGCCUGCUCCCGGACAAAGCCCAUCGAUUCAAUAGCCGCACUAAUUUGUUCUGCGGCGCUCAUCUCUCACGACCUGGAGGCGUGCAUAGGCGGCGAUGCGGGUGGCACGGCUAUCCCGGUCGCGGAUGCCGAGUUGUUCGAGCCACCCGGCCCGCACGCCGACGCCGGUAGAGACGAAGCGACGUUCGACUGUACAGGAGGGAAACUGCCUCGAUGGGAUUAAAGGAGGCAAUCAGUUAUCAGUUCCCGGAAGCAUUGACUAAUUAUUAAGGUGUGCGUUUCUUUUCCCUGAUCUGCAGCUGCUUCGAUUCCUGCACGCACAUAUAUCUUCAUCUUCUGGUGCUCUCCUCGCUCGUAUUACUCCAGCAAACAGACUGCCUAUCACGUCAUAGUCGGGAACUGGGGAUUGAUUGCCCGGUGGCCACAUCCUAGAUCGUUAAGCUGACCAGCCUGUAGAAGCUAGGAGCGGCUUCGAAAACGAUGACGAUUCUACUUAAUGGAGCUCCUCGUCAACCCUCGGUUGCUCACUCCGUUUAUAGAUGGUCGAUGGGAAUUCCAGGCCCUAUAAUAACCUUCUGACCCACUGUCGCCGUCCCAGGCCUGCGGCUGAUCCCCAUUUACCGAUCUACGUGAUGUGAGCCAACAAAACACGGUGAGCAACUGAGCACCCCACUCCUGUUCCUCCAUCUGAAGUUUGUAACAGGGUGAGCAACUGAACACCCCAAUUCUCUUCUGCCAUCUGCAAUUUUUCUUUUUGUUCAGAUCUUGCUACUGAUGGAAGGCAGUGUUUAUGUAUGUCUGUAAAUGGGACUCAUAAUUAAAUUUGUGUCAAAAAUUAUGUCUAACCAUUUUGCAAUUCUGAUUGACUGCUAUGGACAACUUGUUGAUUAUCUGUUUUCUUUGUAGCAGGUUUGGUGAGUCUCAUGACUACUCAGGGUUCUGUUUUUGCCUCUCUAGAUUUAUUUUCUAUGGUGUGCAAAUAAAUGAUGCGUUGUGUAUGCAGACUUGUUUGAUUAUGAAAUAAAGUAUGGAUUGGUCGUACGAAU